UACGGAGGGUGCAAGCGUUAUCCGGAUUCACUGGGUUUAAAGGGUGCGUAGGUGGGUCUGUAAGUCAGUGGUGAAAUCUCCGAGCUUAACUCGGAAACUGCCAUUGAUACUAUAGGUCUUGAAUUUUCUGGAGGACAGCGGAAUAUGUCAUGUAGCGGUGAAAUGCUUAGAUAUGACAUAGAACACCGAUUGCGAAGGCAGCUGUCUACGGGGAUAUUGACACUGAGGCACGAAAGCGUGGGGAUCAAACAGG
rnacentral:rRNA from 1 species